rnacentral:rRNA from 1 species
CCUACGGGGGGCAGCAGUGAGGAAUAUUGGUCAAUGGACGAGAGUCUGAACCAGCCAAGUAGCGUGAAGGAUGACUGCCCUAUGGGUUGUAAACUUCUUUUAUAUGGGAAUAAAACGUUCCACGUGUGGGAUUUUGUAUGUACCAUAUGAAUAAGGAUCGGCUAACUCCGUGCCAGCAGCCGCGGUAAUACGGAGGAUCCGAGCGUUAUCCGGAGUUAUUGGGUUUAAAGGGAGCGUAGGUGGAUUGUUAAGUCAGUUGUGAAAGUUUGCGGCUCAACCGUAAAAUUGCAGUUGAAACUGGCAGUCUUGAGUACAGUAGAGGUGGGCGGAAUUCGUGGUGUAGCGGUGAAAUGCUUAGAUAUCACGAAGAACUCCGAUUGCGAAGGCAGUUCACUGGACUGCAACUGACACUGAGGCUCGAAAGUGUGGGUAUCAAACAGGAUUAGAUACCCGUGUAGUC